rnacentral:rRNA from 1 species
CUGUGAGCUCGAUGAGUAGGGCGGGACACGUGGUAUCCUGUCUGAAUAUGGGGGGACCAUCCUCCAAGGCUAAAUACUCCUGACUGACCGAUAGUGAACCAGUACCGUGAGGGAAAGGCGAAAAGAACCCCGGCGAGGGGAGUGAAAAAGAACCUGAAACCGUGUACGUACAAGCAGUGGGAGCACAGAGCAAUCUGUGUGACUGCGUACCUUUUGUAUAAUGGGUCAGCGACUUAUAUUCUGUAGCAAGGUUAACCGAAUAGGGGAGCCGAAGGGAAACCGAGUCUUAACUGGGCGUUAAGUUGCAGGGUAUAGACCCGAAACCCGGUGAUCUAGCCAUGGGCAGGUUGAAGGUUGGGUAACACUAACUGGAGGACCGAACCGACUAAUGUUGAAAAAUUAGCGGAUGACUUGUGGCUGGGGGUGAAAGGCCAAUCAAACCGGGAGAUAGCUGGUUCUCCCCGAAAGCUAUUUAGGUAGCGCCUCGUGAAUUCAUCUCCGGGGGUAGAGCACUGUUUCGGCAAGGGGGUCAUCCCGACUUACCAACCCGAUGCAAACUGCGAAUACCGGAGAAUGUUAUCACGGGAGACACACGGCGGGUGCUAACGUCCGUCGUGAAGAGGGAAACAACCCAGACCGCCAGCUAAGGUCCCAAAGUCAUGGUUAAGUGGGAAACGAUGUGGGAAGGCCCAGACAGCCAGGAUGUUGGCUUAGAAGCAGCCAUCAUUUAAAGAAAGCGUAAUAGCUCACUGGUCGAGUCGGCCUGCGCGGAAGAUGUAACGGGGCUAAACCAUGCACCGAAGCUGCGGCAGCGACGCUUAUGCGUUGUUGGGUAGGGGAGCGUUCUGUAAGCCUGCGAAGGUGUGCUGUGAGGCAUGCUGGAGGUAUCAGAAGUGCGAAUGCUGACAUAAGUAACGAUAAAGCGGGUGAAAAGCCCGCUCGCCGGAAGACCAAGGGUUCCUGUCCAACGUUAAUCGGGGCAGGGUGAGUCGACCCCUAAGGCGAGGCCGAAAGGCGUAGUCGAUGGGAAACAGGUUAAUAUUCCUGUACUUGGUGUUACUGCGAAGGGGGGACGGAGAAGGCUAUGUUGGCCGGGCGACGGUUGUCCCGGUUUAAGCGUGUAGGCUGGUUUUCCAGGCAAAUCCGGAAAAUCAAGGCUGAGGCGUGAUGACGAGGCACUACGGUGCUGAAGCAACAAAUGCCCUGCUUCCAGGAAAAGCCUCUAAGCAUCAGGUAACAUCAAAUCGUACCCCAAACCGACACAGGUGGUCAGGUAGAGAAUACCAAGGCGCUUGAGAGAACUCGGGUGAAGGAACUAGGCAAAAUGGUGCCGUAACUUCGGGAGAAGGCACGCUGAUAUGUAGGUGAAG